UACGUAGGGGGCGAGCGUUGUCCGGAAUUAUUGGGCGUAAAGAGCUCGUAGGCGGCUCAGCAAGUCGGCUGUGAAAUCCCGAGGCUCAACCUCGGAACUGCAGUCGAUACUGCUGUGGCUAGAGUCUGGUAGAGGAGAGUGGAAUUCCCGGUGUAGCGGUGAAAUGCGCAGAUAUCGGGAGGAACACCAGUAGCGAAGGCGGCUCUCUGGGCCAGUACUGACGCUGAGGCUCGAAAGCGUGGGGAGCAAACAGGA
rnacentral:rRNA from 1 species